GGCUGUCCAGGGAGGUGGUGGAGUCACUGUCCCCGCAGGCGUUCAAGAGAUGUGGAGAUGUGGCACUUAGGGAUGUGUUUACUGGGCAUGGAGGGGAUGGGCUGCUGACUGGACUAGAUGAUCCUAGUUCCUACCCUAAUGGUUCUCUGAUUCUGUUCUUGUUCUGGUGAGACUGCAAGUUGGUGCAGCUGCACCAACUGGAAAAGGAUCCUCUGGAAGUAAGGGGGAGGUUAGGAAGCCUGGGAAGUAUUAGCAUGUGGGAUGAUAGGCUUAGGGGAAAAUAGAGAAGGCUAGUCAAGUAGAACAGCAAAAAGAAGGGGAGUCAGGUGGGAGAGGUUUCCUUUUCAAAGAUGGGCGGAUGUGAAUGAUGAGUGUGUCAUGUUAGCUCCUGAGUGUGAAAUUGAGCUGUGCCUGAAGUCCUUACUUGUAAAUGCAGCCUGCAUGCUGGCUUUGCUUUUGGGCCUGGCAUCAGCCACCUGCCAUGCCUGGCAGGGCUUCGGCCCCUUCCCUGCAGCAGAUCCGGCUGUGAGCAGGGCUGCCAGUUGUUGAGAGCUGCCGAACAACAGGCCAGCUAAACACCUCUUUAUCUGGCAGGCUUGGCCCUGUAAACAGUCCUGCAAGAGCUGUUGGGUGCUGACACUGUAUAAUGACCCGGAAGAAAGGAUGGAUCUACUUCUGAUAUGAGCAGGAUAAAGCAAUGCUUUAAGUGCUUUAUUCUAUUCCAACUUCUUCAGCGAGGUAAAAGAUGAAUGACAGAUGCCCAAUCUUGUCUUGGGAAAGGAAAUCUGAAAACAAAGCUUCUUCAUAUAUUAUUCUUCAGUCCACUAGAUCCAUCCAAUUUACGUAGCAACUGGGGAGCAUUGUGUGGAUCGUAUCUUAUAAAACACACUUUGCAUUCUUUAUUACGUACACUACAAACUCUGUUCCUGUCAUGUCGAUGAUGCUGGUGUCACCGAGAGUGAGUUGGUUUAAAGGUUUGGUGUCUCUCUAGCACUGCAGCAGUGAGGACAGACAGACUGCUGCUAAACAAUGUUAUCAGUGUGUAGCUCUAACAGAUGGGAGUAGUACCACCCCAUCAGCAGAAUUAUACACCUCAAAUGGAUUCACUUGUUUCUAUUACCAUUCAAGAAAACUCCUAAAAAAUGGAUCUCUGUGAAGCCUUUCAUUUGCAACCCUUUAGGCUUUAAUUUAAGCUCUUGCUGUGGUGGAGGACUGUGGAAGAAGGCUGCAGGCACGCCUGGAUAGACUAGAACAGAGAGACCCAAGUGUUUGCUGUCCUUAGUUCUGCUUACUUGCAGAGCUGUACACGAGGGCAUGCUGAGGUUACUUUGCCAAUGGGUAGGGCACACUUGGGUCACAGUUCUGUGAACAUAAUUGAGGGAAGAGGCAUGAUCUGUAGCUGAGAGCUGUGCAGUUUUACCAGCAAAAAGUGUCUCAUUCUAAUCACAGCUGUGGUAGAAUUGCAUUGGGUAAAGUGUAGCACAGGCUGUGCUGCAGCUCAAGGAAUGGGGACCGAGGGCUGCAGCAGUGAGCUGUGCUUUCUGUCGGGCAGGCGAUGUGCUGACUGAUGCAAUGUGCCUUCUGUGUUGUUCUGAGCUAGGCACAGUUUAACACGCAAACUGAAGCCCUGAUUCAUGUUUGGCAAUAAAUUUGUGUAUUGGUCUACUGAGAGGCAGCUGAUGGAAAAUUUCACCAGCGAGACUGCCAAAACUAUUUGUAUAUUUCAUAGUUCAUAUUGUAAACUACUCGUAUGCGUCCCCAUGUCAUAUAUAUUAACUGACUCAACUCUCAAACGCUGGGGUCCAGCAAAACUGUCUUCUACAGAUCUGUCUGCAGAGGUUUUAGCAACAGUACUUGCUUUAACAAAGUUGUGGUGGUAUUUUCCUUCUGUGUAAGGUGUGGAGGGCUUGGUGUAAGAUGGUCCAAUGAUAGUGAAAACAGAUGUCUUAAUCGGCAGAGGAGGGCAGCUGCUUCUGCUCUGCUAAUCGGCAGAGGAGGGCAGGCAACACUUGGAGAAGUGGAAGCUUCUCCAGAAGAAAUGUGGCUGAGUAAAGUGAUGUGCGUGUGAAACACUCAGAAAAUGUUCUAUAAAACAAAAAGGAGACAGAGGAGCAAGAGGGAGUUGAGACUGAUUAUAUGGGGAAUGGGUUGAACAGAUUUCAAAGCAAGUAGUUUCUUAUGCACUAGGAAUAAUACUAACUCAAUCACAGAAAUCCAGAACAAAACCUAUGCUAUUGUAAAUACUGUUUGAUGUCUGUUCUGACUUAUGCUACCAUGCAGAUAUUAUUGAAACACUGUGAGCAUGAAAUUCAUUUUCCCUUUGUAGUUCUGAGGCACCUGCAGCUCCUGUGAGGGUGUGCUGCCCCUAGGCUAGGUGACGUGUGUGACAAGGAGACGUAGCUAACCAAGGAGCUUGAACUGAGAGUCAGGUAAAUUCCCAGCGAAAUGCUUUGUGGCCAUAUGGCUGACUGACCCGUAGAUUCCAGAGAGAUUCUUUCAAAAGCCUGCACGUUAUUUUAUGCUGUUGUAUUCAUGUUAUGAACUCAGAGAUGAUUCUUCAUGAAAGCUAUUUUGCAGUGUCUUCAGGCUAACGUAGGUGGUUGGGCUCUUCUCACCAACUUAGAGCAAAGCACGCCUGGCUGUUCGGCUCAUAGCAUUGAAGGCCCACUUGGUGGUGCUCUGGGAGACAAGGCCCAGAGGGCAGGUGGGCUAACAGAGGAGAGAAAGCACUGACAGCACCUUGCUGAAGAGAGAAAGACUCUCCCUCCUUCAUGUUUACAGCUAUGAAGAAGAAAGCAAAGUGAUCCUUUUCUACCUUAUUUCAGACAUAACAGCUGAUGUAUUCAUUGUGUUGUCAAAGCAGAUUAGUGUGUCACUUUAUUGUUUCAUACUUCAACUCCAGCUGAAAUAUCAAGCAUGCAGAAGACCUUAACAGUGAGUGGGUCCAUCUUGUGUCUCUGAAGGAAAGUGAUUAGACCUGGCUGUCAUUUGCUCCAAAGACAGCUGCUAAUUCUGCUUGGACAAAACACUCUUUUUAGCUGAACAUGGGCCACAAGAGUAGUUCUGGUUGCCCAUUAGUCUCAAAAAAAAGUUUUAUAUUAAAAAAAAAAAAAUCUUCAGAGAAGAGCAAUAAGGAUGAUCCAGACCAGCUUCUGUACAGAAGCUGAACUAAUGGCAUGCUUCAGUAUCAAGCAGAGAUGCUGCAGAGAAAUGUUAUGGAGGGUUAUGAAGCCAUCUGUCUGGAGGGUGACCAGUGAAUGAUUGCUCUCCGUCUCUUUCCCAGGCAUCACACUAUUCACCACUGUCAGAGAGGAGAUAGUGGGUGCUGUGGAUGUGCAGUGUGACGUGCCGUGGCAGUGCUGUGUUUUGCUGUGGAGUGCUGAGAUGUUACUGAGCAUGGGCUUCUCUUCAAGUGAAGGCCUGAGAUGUCAAACAAGGAGAGGUGUCAGAAAUCCCAAUCCCAACAGAGCCCUCUUAGGGGAAAGGAGCUGAUAACUGUGGGGUCUACUACUUGAUUUAGCAUUCAGUAAGCAGCUGAAGGUGAAAAGGACAGCUCUGGACAGCUGCUUGGGACACAACUACAAAAGGGCACGGUGAUGCACUAAGCACUUGAUCAGGUUAGCAAGUUACCCAGGUAGGUGAGGCAGGUGAGGAGCAGGACCCUGCGGGCAGCUGGAUUUUCAGUGGCACUGCACGUUAUUUUUUUCUGUUCAGCUGAAGUCACAGGUGCUGCAAUGCUUCUUGCUGGUAGGCUCUUGAGCUUUCAGCCGGGCACCCAUCCAGCCAUCCGUCACUCUUGGAUUUUGUCCACGGGAAACCAAAUGUGAUCUGAGAGUUGCCACCGCAGCAGAGACAUCAAACAGACACCUGGCAUUUAAUACAAACUGAGUUACUCAAGAGAAAUCAACUGUAAACUUCAGUACUGGAAAGCUGGAGCUCUGCAUGACUGUGCAGACUCUGCAUGUCUUACAGUGAAUCCAGGGGAAGCCUUCAGGACCGUCAGAGCUCGACAUGCCAGCCUGGCACAAUGUUUGAUGUCAGGGUGCAGUUAUAUAUGUGUAUGUUCAGCAGUAGUCAAGGGCACGUGGACCUCACCUUUGGGCAGUGUGGAGUUGACCUGUUCCUGUUCCCCUGGAGCACACCAAGAAGAAUUUAAUGACUUUUUGGUAUCUGUGUGCCCUGAGGCUUAUCCUCUCUGUAUUACCACAGCCAGCAGUGGAGGAGGGACUAACAAAAAGCGGAAAAGGACAAAGGAAAAACAAAACCUUCUAUCUCCAGCACACAAAAGACCACCUGGAACUACCACCAGGAGAUCCUGUCAGUGUUAGACUGUUUUUUUUUUUUUCAGGACAAAUCACACGCUUGGAAGCCAGCAGAAUCUGUGGAGCAGAUAAAUUCUUGUUCGUAUAGCCUAGCAGUAGAGUCAUAUAUUUCACUGUAACCACAAAUACAUACACUCGCUGCAAGUGUGAGAUGAAUGAGACUUGGAGGACAGUGAAAUAUGCAGCCUCCUGGGGCUUGAUCAGCAGCACACAGAAGGAACGUAGGCCUACCAGCUUGCCGUAGGUUUUGGAAAAGACUCUCAGCCCUAUUACAACCAGCCAGCCUGUCAUCUUCAGACUGGCUUGCACACACCCACAUCUAGCCUCCCACAGUGUGCACAGGAUUUCUCAUAGUGGUAAGGAAGGAAGGAGCAGUCUUCCUCAGCACAGCAAAAGCUGUGCUUGUGCCAAGUAUGCUGAGCUAAAGUAAUGUGUGAAACAAGGCUGGUGAUGCAUGAAAUGGUUUGGCUGUGCUGGGGUGGAACUGGGGACCUUCUGCAGUCCCUUGCAGGGAGGAAGAAGAGAAAUAUUUCUACUUUGUUUCUAUGUUUGUUUUGCUUUUUUUCUUAUUGUGCCAGCCAGAAAGACAUUGCUUCUUGGAAGUGUUGUUCCUUGUGAAGGAAAGCUAAGUUCUAUCAGGAAUGAUGCCUUAGAGCAUGGAAGCACCAAGCUUGCUUCUUCUAGGCCUGACAUCUCAGCCAGUGCUUUGUGUCCAACGUCGUUGUGCCUAAGGAGGAGGUCUGAUGCUGUUCUGCAUCUCCUAGAAGCAGGGCACCUCACCUUCACCCACUGGGAAGGUAAAAUGGCAACUGUAGAUGAGCUUUAUUUAUUCCAUCCAUGCAAUGUAUCUACAUUCAUAAAGCUCUUUUAUUCAUACCCUUGGCUUCCAGCACUUGUCCUUUAAAAUGAUAAUUCCAGACCAACCAAGCAACCUCCUACUGAAAUAAAACAUGUCAUCAUUUUACCUUUGGCUCUGUACGAGAUCUUUUGCAUAUCUUCUCCUAAGCCCCCCUCCCAGGACAGGCUGGGCAUGGGGAUGGCAGGAGCCAGCUGCUGGGAUGCUCCUGGUGCGCGAGGCUUGGGAAAUGCUCUGUGGCAGUGAUGUAAGAACAGACUGGUGAGUUAUUUCAGCUGUGCAGUAUGAUGUGAAGUGCAGUCAGACCUGGGGUGAUGAGCACUCCACGCUCCUCUGAUGCCAGGCUCAAGCCCCCAGCAAGCCUCUAUGAACAGAACUCACCUUUAUCUGGGGUGCCCAGCAGUUGGUAGAAAGCGUGCGGGCAAGGAUUUGUGCCUUCGCUUGGCAAAAAGUCGCAGGCCUUGGCUCAAGGUGCUGAGAAGUAAUUGUUAGAAAUCCUGAGUGCCGCAGGGAUCGGCCUCUGCGAAACGCCAACUCUGCGCAUCGGCUGCUCUGUGCCGGGCAGGAAGCUGGGAGCAGGACAGCACCCCGACAGCAAGCGGGGCGUCGGGCUGCGAGCGCUUUGGUGGCACAGCGGUGCCCGCCUGGCUGUGCGGCACGGAGCUGCGGCGGGCUGACCUGCAGGAGAGGGCGCUGCGGGCCCGUGCUGCGCAGCCGGGCAGAAAUGCGUGCCUGCAGAGCUUGCAGAUAAUGUGCCGCGCAGCGCAGACGAUGACGGGCACAAAACAGCAGCGGGGUUCACCUUGGAGCUCCGAGAUUUCUUCCUUCUCGGGGCAGCUUUACACCGAACAACCUAAAGAGGGGAGGGAAGAGCUCGUUGCUACCCACCUGUACAAAACAGGGAGCCAGUGAAUUUCUGAACUGUGAUGGGCAGAGGGCUCUGUUUGCCUUGGAGGGUGUUUCUGGUGGAUUAAUGUGCUUUAGAGGUCAGUUGCUGCUCACCGGAAAAGCUGGUGGGUUUUGGUUCAUAUGAUCAGUUGUUUUUUCCUUCUCCUUCUGCAUCAGUUUUUCCUGAGAAACAUCCAGGCCUGAAGGUUUUUGGUAGGAAAGAAUGCUAGAAAUGGUCCAAAUCUACAUGAGAAAAGGGGUAUCAUGUCACAGGCAUUUGUUCUCUCCCAUUUCCAUGGAAACAUGCUAGCAUGGACUUUGGUUUCAGGCAGAGCAGCCUGGCAAGGUCUAGUUGACUCUGGGAUGAGCUGCUGGCAGCAACACGCAGAAAAGUGGCUUGGACUCUUCGGGUUUUGAGAGACAAGGUAUACCGGCCCUUCAGAAAAACAGUGCUUAGUAUAUAGCAUCGUAAGCGACAGAUGUAAAAAAGAUUUGAUUCCCAGCCCCCCCUUCCCCCCCUUCCCAUCCUUCCCUUCCUUGUCCCACUGCCCCGUCCAGUCCUGCUGAGGAAACAGCAUACACCGCAGGCUACAAUUUUUAAUUUCCUGGGGGUGGAGAGCACAUCGUAUAGCGACUGACAGGCUUUUUGUUCUGCGUCAGUCCUUUUAUUAACCCCCUGCUAGAUCAUUCACUCUCUCUGCUUAGCCGCCCCUGCUGCGUUAGUGAUGAGAGCGUUUGUAACAGCAGGUCUGCCUUGGGAGAUUAUGGGGAUCCCGUGGACAGGGAGCAGUGGGUUGGUCGCUGUGCGUGCACAGAUUGCUAGCUGCAGCUUUGCCUCCAUCUGCCCUCUCUGCUGGCCUGCAUACCUUUCAUUAUCCCUGUAGCGACAGCAGUCGCCUGGCCGAUCCCCCGGGGCAGCGCCGCGUUGCCCCAUUGGCGGAUUUGCUGUCCCAUCUGUGCAGGAAGAAGCUCGGUGGAGGCAAAAGCGUCCCUUUGUCAUCCUGGGCGGUUAUUUCCUUUUUCUUUUGGUUUAGGCUGUUGGCGGUGGUUGGUUAGUCAGCCUAAUUUUGGGAUGCUCACACAAGUUUUAAUUAGCUGCAGUUAUUCACUUAUUUCCUCCCUGCUUCCCUCCCACAUCACUCAGAAUUCAGAAACACCCCCUAACGCAGUGUGCCCUGCGAUCAUUGUCCUCCAGGCCAAUCCUGAACCUUUCAAUCUGCGAUCAAUACCUUCGUCUGUCAGCCACGAUUAAUUAAACGGAAUCCCACUUUCAGGGCUUUGAUUCAUAUCGCCCCAGAACAGCUUACUAUGUGCUAUAAUCCAGACGUGAUUCUAAUACUGGCCUCGAGUGAGAGGGAGGGGCUGACUGAUACAUCAAAAACAACUUCAUUACAAAGCUAAGCGAUGCACGACCUCUUGUUGUAAGGCAGGUGCUAAGUAGGUGGCACCGUGGUCUUCUCUAGAGCCUGGCUGCUUCAUUUGGGGGAAUAAUGCAACUGAAACCAAAGGUGUGAGCUAGGGUAUUACUCUGAGAAGCAGAGUUGGGCCCAGCACCAUCGCUCUGAUGUCUGCGCCAUCUGCGUGGGUGUGUCGUGCUCUGCAGAGGCUGCUUCUUUUGGCCAGAGGUUGUGGUUUUGGAAUUUGAUCUGGUUCUGAAUGGUAAUUCGGUAUCUGAAGACUGUUCUGGGCUUCCUGGCUCUGGUUUGUGGUGGCCCAAGCCAGAGUGUCAAAGAUGCUAUAAUAAAAUUCUUAAGAAUGGUAGAACUGUUUUACUUAAGAUCCUUCUGAUGCAUUUAGUAAUUCUCUUCUCAGAGCACAGAGUGGUAAAAGUGAAGAGGGGUGUGAAGCCAAGCCAUGCAGUGGUGAAGCAGGGACCGGAUCCAGGAUUCAUGACUCCUUCUUCUUUGCUGUCUUCCUUGGACAGAAAAGGAGGUCAGAUCAAAAAAGGGUAAUUUGAAUCUGUGCCAGGCCUUAAAGCAAGAGAGCCACGACCUUUUUUGCUGAUGCUGACCAUGUGUCUUAACCAGACAGCAUUUUCUCCUUUUUUUUUUUCCUUUUUUCCCCCAUCUCUGAUUCAGAGGCAGGCUGUCACUGCCUCUCUUUCCCUGAAACACAUCCCUUGCACCUUUACCCUCAGGACUUCAAAUGGCCUCAGAUCCAGCCCUGAAGAGUCUGAGGGCAGAUGUUGUUAUUCAGAAAGGGCAGGCAUCUCAGCAAAUCUUCAGGUGAUAAGAGAUGAUGUUUUCUGGCUUCCAGCCCCCUGGUAGAAAACAAAGUUGAUGAUGAUGCAGAGUCAUGACCUCAGGACUGGGAGCAGCAAAUGCUUGAGCUCUCCAGCAGUCCUCAGUGCCCAGUUUCAUCUGUCUGACUAUCUGGGGGUUUCCAGGAUGUUCUGCAGCUUCCAAAUGAUAGAUGUGUUUUGUUUCGUGCCCUCGUAGCACAAAUGACUUUUGAAUCAUUACUCAAGAAGAAUGCACAGGCUGUGCAGGAUCUGUGCUGUGUGAUAGAGGAGAUUGCAGUGUUUGUCCAGCACAAGCAGGAGCUUGUUCGCAGUGCUGGAGCUGUUCAGCUUGUCCUGCCUGGCCGAAUUUACACCUCAGUGGUACGUAACGGGCAGAGGAAACAGCAGGAACACAAAGCACAAAGUGGUCUGGUCACUGAGUUUGCCUCGCUGACAGAGCACACAGAAUUUCACAAUUGUUUAGCAGAGAGGAAAAACCAAUAUGUGAAACUUGCAAAUUAAUUUGUUGGGAGUUUGUUGUGGCGUUGUUGCCUUUUACAGAAGAUUGGAAUGGUAGCCGGGCUGUUACGUUGCCUGCACUUUAAGCUUUGGUUUGUAAAUAGCAAAAUCUUUGUGAACAGAAUGAUUUUAGGUUCAUGCAAGCCAAAAAAAUGCCAAUUUCUCUGCUACCCCCCUAGGAAAAUAGAGCAAUGGGAUUUAAUAGAGCAAUAAAACACAGAGCCUUUGUGGGUGAAAAGUGUUAGCCUUAGGUUCAUUGGAAGAUACAGAAACAAAGGCCACUUUGCUUUCGUCAGCCACUUGAAGAGUACAGACCCCCCGUCACACUCGCAGGGUGAGAGGCUUUGCUGGUAAAGCUUUAUUGCCAGUAUAAAAUGAAAAUUGCCCACAAAACAUAGAAGAGAAAAUUCGUAUCUGUGCAUUUGAGUGCUGUGCCUGGUAUGACAUCACUGUUAGCCAAUCAGCAAGCUCCCUUUGUGUCUGGCUUUCUAAUAAAAGCCACUUCAUCAGAGUAAUUUGCAAUAGUAAUUUAUUCACCUUCUAGGAAUGACACCACCUGACUCUUAACAGGCAGAGAGCAUGCAGGGAUCUCAAGGGCUAGGUGCUGCAGCUAUGUCCUGGACAAGCAUAUCUCUAACACCAAUGUGUUAAGAGUUGUGUUCAGGUUGCAGUUAAUGUGAUUACUUGUAUUAAUUAAUUGCCCUAUGGUUGGGCACUCCUAAACAUCCUCAGCACUGCAGAGCAAAAUGUCACUGUGGCUGUGGGAGAGGGGAGUAGCACUGUGGCCAUGUAGCUGGUCUCAGCACACUAGGGCAGGGAUUGAUGGCUUCCCCAUGCUUUGCAGGUGUGUAUGGAACAAGGUGCUGUUUCGAAUGGAAACUUGGCUGAAUUUGGCCAUUUUGAAUUUCAGGUUUGCCUGAAUGAGGCACAGGGAACACUGAAGUGGAGGCAUGGAAAGAGAGAGGGCAUCAAAGCGUUGUGUACAGCUCACUUGCCUUGUACUAAGCAGGGAAGGAUCUGGAGUGCCAGAGUGGUGUGGAUAUGGCCUCAACCUGCUGUGUGAAGAGAAACCUUCUCUCCAUGCUGUGAUAUCCCAUAGGUCUUCUGUGAUAUGAAAUGUGGCAGUCCAGUACUAUAUGCAGUGAGUAAUAGCCCUGUGAGCAUGUGUAGGCAUGGAGAUGCUGAGGCAUGACGGCAGGCAGCUCUAAAAAGAAGUUCCUGAGUCAUUAAAAAACAUUGCGUAGAGUGAGGUCCUGGAGAGCUCUGGGGCUGAGUCUGUAUUCUGCAGGUGUAAAUUACCCUUACCAGACUCUGUAUAGGCAGUGCAGCACACAAAGGCACAGAAUAGGCACCAAAACAUGAAGACAACUGGAAUAAGAGAUCACUUCUGCUCUGAAUAAUUUGCUUUAUUGCACAGUGAGAGAAAGCAGCAGAGCUGAGAACAGCAAGCAGAUGCCCUGAGUCAGUCCAAGAAACGCACCAGCAUAACCAUGGGCAUGCUGGUAAUGGAGAUGUCAAUUGGGAAUGCAGCUGGGCUAAACACCAACAGCUGAUAGGUGGCAGAGUGAUGGGAUGUUGUCACAGCAGCCCUGCUUUCUGGUAGAGCUGGCAGCAUUGCUGCCUCAGGGUCACCAGGGUAUCUACGCAGCAUUUGGUUUUGAAAUUAAAAAACAAAAUCCAAAUAAUUCAACUAGCGCAAUUAAUUUGCUCUGUAAAUCUUUUUGCAAGCAUGUUUAAGUGGGCUUUUUGUCAGGAGCUUCUCCAGGAGUUUACCCUCACCCCGUGUGCAGCAUUGAUCCUGGAGAGCAGGACAGCUGCACAUGAUGAAUAACCUACCUCUCGCUAUUCCUUAAUGAAGUGUUUAACCAACAGUCCAUACUGCUCUGAUGGGGUCUAUUAUGAUUCAGGUUGGAGGAGCCACUUAAGGAGGCACAGCCUUGUUAGCUUCAUGGAAAGCUAACGAAGACCAGACCCUGUGCCUUUGUGAGUGCUGGAGGAGCGGGGAGUGCGAGGAGCCACAGGCAGUAAAUGUCUGCAGGGCUGAGUAAGUAUUCCCCUUGGAUUCCUAAGGCAAUCUACCAGAUAUGCUUUUCAGUCUCUCACUGGGGCUGGAAUGUUUCUUCAGGUGUUUCUAAAACAAACAGGGCCAUUUAAAACAAACAGGAGACCGUGGCUGCAGCCCACGCGUGGCACAGAGGACGGCGAUGAGGAGGGUCUGUUCCUAUGCCACGAGGUACCCUCAAACCUGCUCAGAUCUGUGCUACAGCCAACUUGCUGAGUACUGGAACUUCUGAGCACUGCACAGCUCCCUUUUCAGCCAGGCCUUGGCUCAUUCUCCUGUGCUGUAUGGUGGCACUGGGAUUUCAGGAAGGGCUUUGCUGUUUGGAUCUUGCUCGUUUGGCUGGUUGAGUUGCAUUCAUCCUGUUUUAAAACAGUGACCUGGGCUGGAUGAGUAAAGUGGAGGUAACUGAGGAGAGAGAAGGGCUGUGGUAUUGUGUCUGUAGGACUGUUUUAAGUGUUGUUUAUUGAUUUACUUUGAAAAUAUGUCCUCAGUCUCAUCUGAGUGCAGUGAAAGGUGACAGAACUCCAGAGCAGAAGGGUUUAUAACAUAUGUUCUAAGAAUUGCUUGUCAUACCUGAAGGGAAAAUGGAAGGGUAACAUAAACACGCACAAAGCUUUAGGAUAAUGGCUAUUACUGUGCAGAGACAGCAGUCUCAGGGUCUGGAAUGAUCUGAUGAAGUCUUGUAAUGGGAAUUUGGACAAAAAUAUGUUAUACAGCCCCGAUUCUCUUUGUAAAUGAAGCUUCAUAGGAGAAUCUCAGAAUUUCUGUAGCAGGUAUGUGGGCAAUUUUUGAAAGAGCGGGCCUUGUUGUCCUUACUGUCCUGCUGCUCCUCUUGGAACCUGGCUUCCAAAUAACCUCUGCUCAACCCUGAAACCAGCUCAGCACAGAGUACCUGUCAGUCAGGGAGGAUUGUUGUAUGAGGAGUUUACAUUUACUGUCUUGUAGCGCUAGGAGAGAGGCAAUCACUUCUUGGCAUAGCUCAUUUAUGAAUCAAGGCUGCAUAACAUCUUGCUUCCAUCAGGAUUUGAGCCUUAAAAGCAGUUUGCCUUUGCUGUGCAGGCAGGGACAGAACAAUGUCUAGACCACCUACUUAAGUGGUUAAGUGCCUCACCCGCUCUUCCCCGUUACUUUAGUCAGGCAUUUCCAGGCAUUAAAAUAUCUGACUCUUUAUUGUCCUCAGAUCAGGCAACAGCAAAAUUGCCUCCACCUGGUUUAAGUGCCAGAAUAGGUCCUGUUAAUACAACCCCACUGGUGCAUUCCCAGUGCCUCUUUCCCCUCCCUCUGGCAUGCAAGACUUACAGAGUGUCUCUACGCAGCUAGAAAUGGAUCCUCUUUUUCCAAAAUCUCUUUGUAAUAUUGGGCUCUCAAGGCAACUACCUAAAAUCUGGA